AGUGAAUUUGCAUCCAUCUGGCCCAUUCUUUAUACGAUCCAAGCCAUAGAUCGUAAUAUGGGGUCAUCUUAACCAUAGAAUCAGAGGGGUGAUUAGACCUCUCCUCCCCCAUAGUAGUUAGGCAGGCUACUAGGCGUACACCAUUCAUCUUAGGCUUUUGUAAAAGUUCCAAAUAGUGUAGACCAUCGGAUCUUGUGGGCCCACUAUUCCAGACUGCCUUUCAGAAACAUAGCAUGGGGCUGGCCUUGGUCUUCCUCCAAAAGCUAUCUCAAAUUUAGAAGUAUGGUUUCAACGGCCGAAAGAUAUUGUCCGCAGAUUGCUUUCAGGAGAUGUAGACAUUGGGAUUGUAGGUUUUGACACAUUCUGUGAAUAUGGACAGGGUGAUGAGGAUUUGAUCAUAGUUCAUGAUGCACUGGAGUAUGGACAUUGCCGUUUAUCCAUGGCAGUUCCUUGGUAUGGGAUUUUUGAAAAUAUUAAUUCCAUUAGCAAGCUAGCCAAAAUGCCUCAAUGGAACAGUGAGAAGCCUCUACGAGUUGCAACUGGAUAUACCUAUCUGAGUUCCAAGUUUUUGAAAGAGAAGGGAUUAAAGCAUGUCACUUUCUCAACUGCUGAUGGAGCACUGGAGGCAGCUCCUGCGAUGGGAACUGCAGAUGCUAUUAUUGAUAUUGUAAGUACUGGAACAACAUUACGUGAAAAUAAUUUAAAAGAAAUUGAAGGUGGAGUUGUCUUAGAAAGCCAGGCUGUACUUGUUGCAAGAAAGAAAUCCAUCAUCCAGCAGAAUGGUGCCCUUGAUACUACCCAUGAGAUUCUUGAAAGACUUGAAGCGCAUCUUAGGGCACUUGAUCAAUCCAUGGUGACUGCCAACAUGAAGGGGAGCAGUGUAGAGGAAGUGUCUGAAAGAAUUCUAAGCCAGCCACAAUUAUCUGGGUUGCAGGGACCUACCAUAAAUGAAAUCUUCUCCAAACCCAAUAGCGUCACACCGGACUACUAUGAAAUUGUCAUAUGUGUACCCAAAAGAGCACUCUACAAAUCAGUUCAGCAGCUGCGAGCCAUUGGUGGCUGUGGUGUUUUGAUUUCUCCAUUGGCAUACAUUUUUGAUGAAGAGCCUCCAAGAUGGCACAAUCUUCUCAUGCAACUUGGACUGUAAUUGUCUAGAUGCUGUCUUCAAUGCUUUUUAGGAGCUUUUCUGUUUUAUAGAAAUAAGUCUGGAGAGCAGCCUGUGUUGAAUAGACAUGGAUUCCCACAUUCGAUGGUGCCGAAGGCUUUUGAAAUGUCAUCUCAUGGAGCUCAAUUCCAAAAAUAUGCUCCAAUCUGUUCAAUCUUACAUCAUUGGAGGAUGAUUUGACCUUAAAUGUAUUACAUGUUCUUAUAUAUCUCGGAAGCUGGUUCAUUAUUCAAGAUCUCGGCAUUGGAUGAUAUGUAUUAGAUGAUAUACCAUACGGUACCCACAAUAUACACAUUUCUCCAUAGUUAUGUAUGGUUAAUAUCAAAUCACCACCGC